CAUCUGAUGAAUCCAUUAAUUGAAAAUUACUGGAAAACAGGCAAUAGCCUGUUUCCAGAUUAUCCUUCUUUUUUAACACCCAUUCCUUUACCACUGGUGGAAGUCCACCUUUAAAACUUUUCAGCUGAGUAAUGAAUUCCAUUUUUUUUCACUUUAUGAACUUUAUCACUUGCAAUAUAUGCAAAUAUUGGCGUACCAAUAGUGUUGCACAUCGAUAACAAUUCGAGGUUGCAUUUCGAUUGGGAAGAAAGAGGAAGAGAGAGGAGGGUUGCCACUUAAUUAUUUUAACGUUGAGGAACUUUGAACAACUUGUAAAGUUUUUUAAUAUAGUGCAAUGUUUGUUUAUAUAUCGGUUAACGGUGCGCAGCCGCCAUAUGGUGCGCCGCCGCCACCUUAUGGUGUGCCACAAGUGUAUGCUGCGCAGCCGCUCUAUGGUGCGCCGCCGCCACCUUAUGGUGCGCAGCCGCCCUAUAGUGCGCCGCCGCCACCUUAUGGUGUGCAGCACGUGUAUCCUGCGCCGCCAUCUUAUGGUGCGCCGCCGCCACCUUUUGGUGCGCCACCGCCGCCACAACAGGCUCCACAACAGACGCCACAACCACCACAAACCCCCACAACUGCCAGAAUCACCACCCCCAACGCUGCCACAACUGCCAGAAUCACCACCCCCAACGCUGCCACAACUGCCAGAAUCACCACCCCCAUCGCUGCCACAACUGCCAGAAUCACCACCCCCACAACUACCACAAAAUGCGCCACCACCACCGCCAAAGCCCCCGAUGAAGCCACCCCCGAGAAGGAAGAAGUGGGUGCCACACACUCAUGAAGAUGGCAGUGGUCGGCUCUGGUCAACGGUGGCCAACCAGUGCCACCACUGUUUUGGAAAAUUGAAUAGGCCAGCUCGUUUGGAGGAACAUUUGAAGGUGUGCCUUACACAGCCAAAGAGUGGUGCCUGUUUGUGGUGCCCAUUUAUUGGCAAGACGAACGUGGGGACGCACCACCUGACUUGCAAAGGAGUGCAAGGGCACCUGUACGUGCCAGUGGGGGAGCAGCGGCUGCAGCGCGACAAGUGGGUGGAAGCUCUAAGGCGGUCAACAUCCGCUUCACAGAGCUAUAUGGCGCCCACGCCGUCGCCGCCCCCUCCAUCAACAGCAUCUCCAUCACCGAAACGAGAACCGACACAGGUUCAGUUAUCGGAACUUUUUAACAUUGAUGGAGAUUUAUUUGGUGAGUGUAAUUUUGAAAUUAAUUAAUUUCUAUUACAAUUAAUAAUUCAUCCUUUUCCCCAGAUCUUUUUAUGUAAAAUUAUUUUUGUUCCCACAUAACUAUUAAAAUGCCAGAGAAUUAGGCAGACGGCCCCUGAAGGAAUCAUUUUUAUUUUGUAUUUUUUUUAAUUUUUAGUUUAUCAGAAGGUAA